AUGUGAUUGUGUAUUUUGUAAAUCUGCAAAUAAAGAUACUGGGAUUAAUAAUAAUAGUUAUAUUAUGAAAGUAAAGCAUGACAUCUGAGCCUAUCAGAGAACGUUGAUAAUCAAACCCUUUCGUUUGAAAGAACUUGAUGUCAAAAGUCUUGCAGAAUCAGAUUCGAUAAAAAUUAAACUUGCAAGUAUUUGUAAACUACAGUAGAAGCUAAAAAUUAAAAAUACUAGAACCAUAAUUCCUAAUCCAUAAAAAACCUGCUGUCUCUACACUUGCUUCUAUAUCAUCAAUUUGAAGUUGCCAAAUAAGAAAGUGCAGGGACCAAUCAUGGCCCUGUUUGGUCAAUUUGCCUUGCUUGUCCAUUGAUGCAAUCCUACACUCUAAAAGCUUCUCAACAAUUU
rnacentral:misc_RNA from 1 species